rnacentral:rRNA from 1 species
ACUCCUACGGGAGGCAGCAGUGGGGAAUAUUGCACAAUGGGCGCAAGCCUGAUGCAGCCAUGCCGCGUGUGUGAAGAAGGCCUUCGGGUUGUAAAGCACUUUCAGUCGUGAGGAAGGUAGUGUAGUUAAUAGCUGCAUUAUUUGACGUUAGCGACAGAAGAAGCACCGGCUAACUCCGUGCCAGCAGCCGCGGUAAUACGGAGGGUGCGAGCGUUAAUCGGAAUUACUGGGCGUAAAGCGCAUGCAGGUGGUUUGUUAAGUCAGAUGUGAAAGCCCGGGGCGUCAACCUCGGAAUAGCAUUUGAAACUGGCAGACUAGAGUACUGUAGAGGGGGUAGAAUUUCAGGUGUAGCGGUGAAAUGCGUAGAGAUCUGAAGGAAUACCGGUGGCGAAGGCGGCCCCUGGACAGAUACUGACACUCAGAUGCGAAAGCGUGGGAGC